rnacentral:rRNA from 1 species
UACGAAGGGUGCAAGCGUUACUCGGAAUUACUGGGCGUAAAGCGUGCGUAGGUGGUUCGUUAAGUCGAACGUGAAAUCCCCGGGCUCAACCCGGGAACUGCGUCCGAUACUGGCAGGCUUGAAUUCGGGAGAGGGAUGUGGAAUUCCAGGUGUAGCGGUGAAAUGCGUAGAUAUCUGGAGGAACACCGGUGGCGAAGGCGGCUGCCUGGCCCAAUACUGACACUCAGGUGCGACAGCGUGGGGAGCAAACAGG